AUUCCAAUAGCUCAAUUGAAUGGAGCAACAGUUUCCUAAACUGUAGGUUGAUGGUUUGAGUCCAUCUUGGAAUGCCA
rnacentral:tRNA from 1 species